UGAAACUAAUAGUAUUGUGUUUUGUUACGUCAUAUAUAUAUAUAUGUUGACGAAAUGCCACAAAUUAAAGAAAGGUUAAAAUACAUAUGUUAGCAUACCUAAUACUAAAUUACAAAAAAUAGCAACACUUUUUCCUAAUUAUCUUGUGUAGCAUUUGUAGCAUUAUUUUAAGUGGGGGACCACAAUUACCGCAUCUUAAAAGCAGGUUCCAUUAUUUACGCUUAAAACUUUCUCUUUUCUUUAAUUGCUUUAUACUUUACCAUUUUUCAUGCUUCUUAUCAAAUUUUCUCUUUCAAAAUUUUUCCUUCUUAACGUCUUUUUCACGAUUAUUAUUCCACAAUUUCAGGUAAAUAAUUAAUUCAGUUAUUGCAUGUUAUCAAUUUUUCAAUAUAUUUUUUUUUUUAAUUUUGUACUGUAAACAAUUUCUCCAUUUCAUCUUUAACGUUUUGAUUUUUGUAGUUGUUAACGGAGAAUCAAGGUCAUCGAAUUUGCUGAAUUUUGUUUUGUUUGUUUUUCAGUUAAAUUUGAUGUUUUAUGAGUUGAUAUAGUUGAAAAAAAUUAAAUUUUGGAUGAGAAUUGGAACUGAGUUUUGUUUUGUUGCGAUAAAUGGAGGAUAAUCGGAGUUGAAUGAAUAUUGCAGAUGAUUUUGGGUUGAUUUUUUGUUGUUGUUGGUUGAAUUUUUUCGAAGAUAGCUGAUAUUUUGAAGAAAAAAGUGGUUGAAAAAAGUUUCUUCUCCAAAAGGAGAACAAAUUAAAAAAAUAUAUGAGAAGAAAAGAAAAACAAAAGAAAUUGAAAAGUCAAACAAUGUUGAUGACGAUGUUGAGAACUCUUUGUGCUAAUGAAUCUGAGAAGACAUGGAGGAAGAGUUGUUCUGGCUGAGAUACAAAAAUUAGCUGAGAUUAUUCCAUUGUGUCCCAAGCUUGUAAUUUCUACGAAAAGAAAGGGACUGUGGUCUGUAUAUGGUAACAUACGCAGAGUGUCUUUCUUAUGGUAAAAGAGUUCCUUUGAUUGAGUUCAACCCCAACACACUUCGUACAUUUUAUGCUGCACAAUUGUGGGACUAUAUAUGGCAUGAGAAAACAAGAAGCAAAUGCUCAUAGCGAUGUUGAAGCACCCUUGAGACCUGGCAGGCAAAGCCGAAUAACUAGUGUCACUGAAGUUUUAGAAAUAUGAUGAUUGUUGAAUUUAUUACAUUCGAUAGUCGACAAAUUGGUGUAUGGAUAUUUUUUUUUUGUACAAGCUUAUUUCAUGUUUUGAAGUGUUUAAAUGUUACUUAUUUUGAAGUGAAUGAAAGUAAUUCAUUUCUGUUGUAUAAGUUGAAUAUGUUUUCAACAAUUUUGUACUAUGUGUUUUACUCCAGUGUUCAAUAAUAUUGGUUGC